rnacentral:rRNA from 1 species
GGAAUAUUGGACAAUGGCUGAAAAGCUGAUCCAGCCAUCCCGCGUGAAGGUAGAAGGUCCUAUGGAUUGUAAACUUCUUUUCUCUGGGAAGAAAAAGCUUGAUUCAUCAAGCCCUGACGGUACCAGAGGAAUAAGCACCGGCUAACUCCGUGCCAGCAGCCGCGGUAAUACGGAGGGUGCAAGCGUUAUCCGGAUUCACUGGGUUUAAAGGGUGCGUAGGCGGGCUUAUAAGUCAGUGGUGAAAGCCCGGAGCUUAACUUCGGAACUGCCAUUGAUACUGUAAGUCUUGAGUACACUUGAGGUGGGCGGAAUACAUCAUGUAGUGGUGAAAUACUUAGAUAUGAUGUAGAACACCGAUUGCGAAGGCAGCUCACUAAAUUGUAACUGACGCUGAGGCACGAAAGCGUGGGGAUCAAAC